rnacentral:rRNA from 1 species
GGGCCCGCACAAGCGGUGGAGCAUGUGGUUUAAUUCGAUGAUACGCGAGGAACCUUACCAGGGCUUAAAUUAGUGGGACAGGUCUAGAGAUAGACCCUUCUCGGACUCAUUACAAGGUGCUGCAUGGUUGUCGUCAGCUCGUGCCGUGAGGUGUCAGGGUUAAGUCCUAUAACGAGCGCAACCCCUAUCGUUAGUUGCCAGCGAGUAAUGUCGGGAACUCUAGCGAAACUGCCGGUGCAAACCGUGAGGAAGGUGGGGAUGACGUCAAAUCAUCACGGCCCUUACGUCCUGGCCACACACGUGCUACAAUGGUCAGUACAGUGGCAGCGACCCCGCAAGGGUGAGCUAA